GCUGCAUAAAUGUGACUGCCAUGGGAGUUCGCAGAAGUAUCUCAUGAAAUGGCCUCUUAUGAAGCCCAAGACAGGAAGCAGCAGGUACAGGAUUCAGCAGAGAGCAAUAACUUUCUGAUUUCUGAUGCCACAGAUUAGUUGUGCCUAUCCUUUUAAUUCAUUGGGAGUUCCUCUGCACAAGCUCGCUUGCCUGCCACCAUGUAAGAUGUGCCCUUGCUCUUCAUUCUCCUUCUGCCAUCAUAGUGAGGUCUCCUCAGCCAUGUGGAACU